GGUCCCGUGGCCCAGGGCUAAGGCGCCUGACUACGGAUCAGGAGAUCGGAGGUUCAAAUCCUCCCGGGAUCG
rnacentral:tRNA from 1 species